rnacentral:rRNA from 1 species
UACGGAGGGGGCUAGCGUUGUUCGGAAUUACUGGGCGUAAAGCGCACGUAGGCGGACUGUUAAGUCGGGGGUGAAAUCCUGGGGCUCAACCUCAGAAUUGCCUCCGAUACUGGCAGUCUCGAGUGCGGGAGAGGUGAGUGGAAUUCCCAGUGUAGAGGUGAAAUUCGUAGAUAUCGGAAGGAACACCAGUGGCGAAAGCGGCUUCCUGGUCCAGCACCGACGUCAGGCACG